UGGAAGCCUGAUGAGUGAAUAUACAUUUCACAAGUUCUCCUCAAGUAUAGCCCUGGAGGUCUGGUGUUCUGCUGAAUUUACCCUUAACUUGCCUCAACAGACCUGCCUGGAAGUUUGAAGUAUGCCUAAUUAGAUCUUGAAUUAGAACUAAACUCUACACAGGCCCGCCAGGACCAGAUUUGAGGAACCCUGCAUUUGACAAAUUGAUAUUUAUUUAUUAAUGGUAAAGCAUUUUAAGGGCAUAAUCGUAAUUGUUUUGAAUGAUUGCAGACAAUUGAAUGCUACUUUCAAGCACUCUUGAAGUCAAAAGGCGAUGGACGAAAAAAAUUUCUAUUCAGCCACUAUUCUGCCAGUGUUGUUGUAUUUGGGGAGAGGUCUGCAUUGUCAAAUCACAGUUUACGAAAGGUUAACUUUGAAGACUACAAUGCUCUCAUUGGAUUCAUUAAUGUACACAGAAACCACUGGAAAUUUCUGUAUCUCAACAGGAAUAUGCAGAAAGUGUUUGUGGUGGAUCCCCAAGGGAAUGAAGAAGAGAAAGAUUUUCAACUUGCUGCCAAAAGAUUCAGGUGUUGUAUUUACUAUUAUUAUUAUUAUUAUUAUUAUUAUUAUUAUUAUUAUUAUCAUACAGCCACAGACCCCCAAAUAUAAUCACCAUUGUGAGAGACCCGCAUCCUCGAAUUUAAAAGGCAUCUGUCUUUUAUAGACAUCUAAUAAACCGAAUAAAAUUAAAAAUAUAAAUCCA
ensembl:lncRNA